rfam:Clostridium asparagiforme DSM 15981 genomic scaffold Scfld6, whole genome shotgun sequence.
GGAAGCAUAGCUCAGCCGGGAUGAGCGCUCGCCUCACACGCGAGAGGUCAGGAGUUCGAGCCUCCUUGCUUCCA